rnacentral:rRNA from 1 species
GGGUUGUGAGGUUAAGCGACUAAGCGUACACGGUGGAUGCCCUGGCAGUCAGAGGCGAUGAAGGACGUGCUAAUCUGCGAUAAGCGUCGGUAAGGUGAUAUGAACCGUUAUAACCGGCGAUUUCCGAAUGGGGAAACCCAGUGUGAUUCGUCACACUAUCAUUAACUGAAUCCAUAGGUUAAUGAGGCGAACCGGGGGAACUGAAACAUCUAAGUACCCCGAGGAAAAGAAAUCAACCGAGAUUCCCCCAGUAGCGGCGAGCGAACGGGGAGCAGCCCAGAGCCUGAAUCAGUGUGUGUGUUAGUGGAAGCGUCUGGAAAGGCGCGCGAUACAGGGUGACAGCCCCGUACACAAAAAUGCACAUACUGUGAGCUCGAUGAGUAGGGCGGGACACGUGGUAUCCUGUCUGAAUAUGGGGGGACCAUCCUCCAAGGCUAAAUACUCCUGACUGACCGAUAGUGAACCAGUACCGUGAGGGAAAGGCGAAAAGAACCCCGGCGAGGGGAGUGAAAAAGAACCUGAAACCGUGUACGUACAAGCAGUGGGAGCACAGAGCAAUCUGUGUGACUGCGUACCUUUUGUAUAAUGGGUCAGCGACUUAUAUUCUGUAGCAAGGUUAACCGAAUAGGGGAGCCGAAGGGAAACCGAGUCUUAACUGGGCGUUAAGUUGCAGGGUAUAGACCCGAAACCCGGUGAUCUAGCCAUGGGCAGGUUGAAGGUUGGGUAACACUAACUGGAGGACCGAACCGACUAAUGUUGAAAAAUUAGCGGAUGACUUGUGGCUGGGGGUGAAAGGCCAAUCAAACCGGGAGAUAGCUGGUUCUCCCCGAAAGCUAUUUAGGUAGCGCCUCGUGAAUUCAUCUCCGGGGGUAGAGCACUGUUUCGGCAAGGGGGUCAUCCCGACUUACCAACCCGAUGCAAACUGCGAAUACCGGAGAAUGUUAUCACGGGAGACACACGGCGGGUGCUAACGUCCGUCGUGAAGAGGGAAACAACCCAGACCGCCAGCUAAGGUCCCAAAGUCAUGGUUAAGUGGGAAACGAUGUGGGAAGGCCCAGACAGCCAGGAUGUUGGCUUAGAAGCAGCCAUCAUUUAAAGAAAGCGUAAUAGCUCACUGGUCGAGUCGGCCUGCGCGGAAGAUGUAACGGGGCUAAACCAUGCACCGAAGCUGCGGCAGCGACGCUUAUGCGUUGUUGGGGUAGGGGAGCGUUCUGUAAGCCUGCGAAGGUGUGCUGUGAGGCAUGCUGGAGGUAUCAGAAGUGCGAAUGCUGACAUAAGUAACGAUAAAGCGGGUGAAAAGCCCGCUCGCCGGAAGACCAAGGGUUCCUGUCCAACGUUAAUCGGGGCAGGGUGAGUCGACCCCUAAGGCGAGGCCGAAAGGCGUAGUCGAUGGGAAACAGGUUAAUAUUCCUGUACUUGGUGUUACUGCGAAGGGGGGACGGAGAAGGCUAUGUUGGCCGGGCGACGGUUGUCCCGGUUUAAGCGUGUAGGCUGGUUUUCCAGGCAAAUCCGGAAAAUCAAGGCUGAGGCGUGAUGACGAGGCACUACGGUGCUGAAGCAACAAAUGCCCUGCUUCCAGGAAAAGCCUCUAAGCAUCAGGUAACAUCAAAUCGUACCCCAAACCGACACAGGUGGUCAGGUAGAGAAUACCAAGGCGCUUGAGAGAACUCGGGUGAAGGAACUAGGCAAAAUGGUGCCGUAACUUCGGGAGAAGGCACGCUGAUAUGUAGGUGAAGUCCCUCGCGGAUGGAGCUGAAAUCAGUCGAAGAUACCAGCUGGCUGCAACUGUUUAUUAAAAACACAGCACUGUGCAAACACGAAAGUGGACGUAUACGGUGUGACGCCUGCCCGGUGCCGGAAGGUUAAUUGAUGGGGUUAGCGCAAGCGAAGCUCUUGAUCGAAGCCCCGGUAAACGGCGGCCGUAACUAUAACGGUCCUAAGGUAGCGAAAUUCCUUGUCGGGUAAGUUCCGACCUGCACGAAUGGCGUAAUGAUGGCCAGGCUGUCUCCACCCGAGACUCAGUGAAAUUGAACUCGCUGUGAAGAUGCAGUGUACCCGCGGCAAGACGGAAAGACCCCGUGAACCUUUACUAUAGCUUGACACUGAACAUUGAGCCUUGAUGUGUAGGAUAGGUGGGAGGCUUUGAAGUGUGGACGCCAGUCUGCAUGGAGCCGACCUUGAAAUACCACCCUUUAAUGUUUGAUGUUCUAACGUGGACCCGUAAUCCGGGUUGCGGACAGUGUCUGGUGGGUAGUUUGACUGGGGCGGUCUCCUCCUAAAGAGUAACGGAGGAGCACGAAGGUUGGCUAAUCCUGGUCGGACAUCAGGAGGUUAGUGCAAUGGCAUAAGCCAGCUUGACUGCGAGCGUGACGGCGCGAGCAGGUGCGAAAGCAGGUCAUAGUGAUCCGGUGGUUCUGAAUGGAAGGGCCAUCGCUCAACGGAUAAAAGGUACUCCGGGGAUAACAGGCUGAUACCGCCCAAGAGUUCAUAUCGACGGCGGUGUUUGGCACCUCGAUGUCGGCUCAUCACAUCCUGGGGCUGAAGUAGGUCCCAAGGGUAUGGCUGUUCGCCAUUUAAAGUGGUACGCGAGCUGGGUUUAGAACGUCGUGAGACAGUUCGGUCCCUAUCUGCCGUGGGCGCUGGAGAAUUGAGGGGGGCUGCUCCUAGUACGAGAGGACCGGAGUGGACGCAUCACUGGUGUUCGGGUUGUCAUGCCAAUGGCACUGCCCGGUAGCUAAAUGCGGAAGAGAUAAGUGCUGAAAGCAUCUAAGCACGAAACUUGCCCCGAGAUGAGUUCUCCCUGACUCCUUGAGAGUCCUGAAGGAACGUUGAAGACGACGACGUUGAUAGGCCGGGUGUGUAAGCGCAGCGAUGCGUUGAGCUAACCGGUACUAAUGAACCGUGAGGCUUAACCUUACAACGCCGAAGCUGUU